AAAACACAACCCCAAAAAAAUUCAAAAUUUUAGGUACCGAAAAGGCCCUCGAUAUUUUUCAAUAAUCCCCAUCAUGUCCCUAGACUCAGUCUCUCUUCCUCCUUCGACUAGCAGAGACUGGUUUUUUCCCACUCCACCGAAAUACCCAAAAUGCCCUCGCAAAUUCACCGCAAACCCCAAAGCUCCUUCCCAUAUUUCCCUCCUCCUCCUCCUCCUCCUCCCAAAACGCCGUCGUUCCGAGACGUUUCGGAAACCGCACCGACGCCGUAUCGGGAUUUCAAGUAUGCGAGGACUCGCCGGAGAGUCGACGUAUCUCAACGGAGCCAGAGGAGUAAGGUUUCCGAAGAGUCUAACGGCGCCGUUUCGGGACCGAAGCCAGAAGUUUCGGCCGUUUCGGCGAAAAUUGAGGACGUUUCGGCGGUGAAGAAAGUGAGUAAAAUUAUCGGGGUUUCGGUUCGGGACUUGAAAAAUCGGUGGUACAUGGCGGUCUCAGUAGCUGUUUUGAUAACAGUGUUUUCUUCAUUGCUGUACAAGAAUUUCUCAUUACAGAACCAAGUCAAUGAGCUUCAGGACCAGAUCUCCAAUUGCAAUAUCUCUAUAGGUGCUACCAACUCCAUUGAACAGGAGAUUGAUCAUCUUCCAAGCAAAAACUUGAAAAUUUUAGCUCUCAUUCUCUCUAUCACACUUUUAUCUGUCCCUUUUCUGAUUUUCAAGUAUGUUGAUUAUGUCUCUAAGUCAAGAUCAUUGGACAAUAUUUCAGAAGAAGUUUCUCUUAACAAACAACUAGCAUAUUGGGUGGAUUUGUUUUUAUCGGUACACCCAUAUGCUAAGCCAUUGGGUUUGUUAGUUGCAACUCUAUUACUUAUAUGUCUUGGGGGGUUGGCACUCCAUGGAGUGACUGAUGGUAGCUUAGCAGAAUGUCUUUGGUUAUCUUGGACAUAUGUAGCUGAUUCUGGCAACCAUGCUGACUCUGAAGGUAUUGGUUGGAAACUAGUUUCAGUUUCCAUUAGCUUUGGUGGGAUGCUUAUAUUUGCAAUGAUGCUUGGACUUGUUUCUGAUGCAGUUUCUGAGAAGCUUGACUCAUUGAGGAAAGGAAGAAGUGAGGUGGUCGAAAAAAGCCACACUUUGAUACUUGGGUGGAGUGAUAAAUUGGGAUCACUGCUUAAUCAACUUGCUAUAGCCAAUGAGAGUUUGGGAGGAGGAAUUGUUGUUGUGAUGGCCGAGCGAGACAAAGAGGAAAUGGAACUUGACAUUGCUAAGAUGGAAUUCAAUUUUAAAGGAACAUCAGUGAUAUGCCGAAGUGGGAGCCCUCUGAUUCUAGCUGACCUGAAAAAGGUAUCUGUCUCCAAGGCCCGUGCGAUCAUUGUCCUUGCUGAAGAUGGAAAUGCUGACCAGAGUGAUGCUCGUGCACUUAGAACAGUUUUAAGUCUAGCCGGAGUUAAGGAAGGGCUUCGAGGACACAUAGUUGUGGAACUUAGUGAUCUUGACAACAAGGUCCUUGUUAAACUUGUUGGCGGAGAUCCUGUACAAACUGUUGUGGCUCAUGAUGUAAUUGGUCGUUUGAUGAUUCAAUGUGCUCGGCAGCCAGGACUUGCACAGAUCUGGGAAGAUAUUCUUGGGUUUGAAAAUUGUGAGUUCUACAUCAAGAGAUGGCCACAGUUGGAUGGCAUGCAAUUUGAGGAUGUCUUAAUUAGUUUUCCUGAUGCCAUUCCUUGUGGAGUCAAGAUUGCAUCAUAUAGUGGUAAAAUUGUUCUUAAUCCUGAGGAUUCCUAUGUCCUACAAGAAGGCGAUGAAGUUCUUGUUAUAGCUGAGGAUGAUGACACCUAUUCUCCAGCAGCACUGCCUACGGUUUGGAGAGGAAGUCUACCCAAAGAUUUUUUUGUUCCAAAAUCUACAGAAAAGAUACUUUUAUGUAGUUGGCGACGAGAUAUGGAAGAUAUGAUUAUGGUAUUGGAUGCGUUUCUAGCACCUGGUUCAGAGCUUUGGAUGUUCAAUGAUGUUCUUGGAAAGGAGAGGGAGAAGAAGCUUACUGAUGGUGGACUUGACAUAAACCGAUUGGUGAAUAUAUCCUUGGUUCAUCGCGAGGGAAAUGCUGUAAUACGGCGUCAUUUAGAAAGCCUUCCCCUGCAAUCUUUUGAUUCAGUCUUGAUUCUGGCUGAUGAAUCUGUGGAAGAUUCUGCAAUUCAAGCUGAUUCCAGAUCUCUUGCCACAUUACUAUUAAUUUGUGACAUUCAGGCAAAACGUCUCCCAUUCAGAGACACUCAAGUUCAUAGAGGAAGCUUCUCACAAGGGUCCUGGAUAGGAGAUAUGCAGCAAGCUUCAGAUAAAUCAGUUAUAAUCAGUGAAAUUCUGGAUCCAAGGACAAAAAAUUUAUUAUCCAUGUCAAAGAUCAGCGAUUAUGUUUUAUCAAAUGAGCUUGUCAGCAUGGCACUGGCCAUGGUUGCAGAGGAUUGACAAAUAAAUGAUGUAUUAGAAGAGCUCUUUGCUGAGGAGGUAGUCUUCUUCUGAUAAUGGGAAUGAGAUGCAUAUAAGACAAGCAGAUCUCUAUCUUCGUGAAGGGGAGGAAUUGAGUUUCUAUGAGAUACUCUUACGAGCCCGACAAAGGAGGGAGAUUGUGAUUGGUUAUCAUUUUGCCAAUGCUGAGAGAGCUGUCAUCAAUCCCCCUGCUAAAAGCGAGAGACAAAGGUGGUCAUUGAAGGAUGUAUUUGUGGUAAUUGCUGAGAAAGAUGAGUGAUGAAAUAGGGUAUCCUUGAAAGGAAUGAAAUUUUGUUUAUAAUCAGGAUAGGAUUGAAGACCAUAGUCUCCAAAGUCAUUGAGAUUGUAAAUUUACUGAUGGCCUGCAAUUUCCUGCCCCAGAAUCAACCUCAGAUUUUGACUGGUAUUCCAGAUAAUUUUCUGAUCAGACGGAAAAGAGCAACUCAAAUUUAAUGCCCACCUCUCUUUGUAUUUCAUUAAUCAUAGUGAUUGCUUUACAUUAGUCAGCUGUAUAGCAUCCGUCUACAUACCAUCAUUGUAAA